rnacentral:rRNA from 1 species
GACGUCCUGCCGGUGGUGGUCCGGGCUUUCGGUUAUGUGUAGGUUCGCCGAAGCAUACCGUAAGUUCCGGCCACCGAUUCAAUCCCGCCGCGGUGCUCUUAACUGAGUGUCGAGGUGGGCCGGCACGUUUACUUUGAACAAAUUAGAGUGCUUAAAGCAGGCUGAUUUCUGCCUGAAUACUGUGUGCAUGGAAUAAUGGAAUAGGACUUCGGUUCUAUUUUGUUGGUUUUAAGAAUCCGAAGUAAUGAUUAAUAGGGACAGGCGGGGGCAUUCGUAUUGCGACGUUAGAGGUGAAAUUCUUGGAUCGUCGCAAGACGUACCUAAGCGAAAGCAUUUGCCAAGUAUGUCCUCGUUAAUCAAGAACGAAAGUUAGAGGUUCGAAGGCGAUCAGAUACCGCCCUAGUUCUAACCAUAAACGAUGCCAGCCAGCGAUCCGCCAAAGUUCCUCCGAUGACUUGGCGGGCAGCUUCCGGGAAACCAAAGCUUUUGGGUUCCGGGGGAAGUAUGGUUGCAAAGCUGAAACUUAAAGGAAUUGACGGAAGGGCACCACCAGGAGUGGAGCCUGCGGCUUAAUUUGACUCAACACGGGAAACCUCACCAGGCCCGGACACUGGAAGGAUUGACAGAUUGAUAGCUCUUUCUUGAUUCAGUGGGUGGUGGUGCAUGGCCGUUCUUAGUUGGUGGAGCGAUUUGUCUGGUUAAUUCCGAUAACGAACGAGACUCUAGCCUGCUAACUAGGCGUUUCCGGUAUCCACAAUAGUGCUACCGGCGAAUAAAUUUCUUCUUAGAGGGACAGGCGGCUUCUAGCCGCACGAGACUGAGCAAUAACAGGUCUGUGAUGCCCUUAGAUGUCCUGGGCCGCACGCGCGCUACACUGAAGGAAUCAGCGUGUCUUCCCUGGCCGAAAGGUCCGGGUAACCCGUUGAACCUCCUUCGUGCUAGGGAUUGGGGCUUGCAAUUGUUCCCCAUGAACGAGGAAUUCCCAGUAAGCGCGAGUCAUAAGCUCGCGUUGAUUACGUCCCUGCCCUUUGUACACACCGCCCGUCGCUACUACCGAUUGAAUGAUUUAGUGAGGUCUUCGGACUGGUGCGCGGUGAUCGCCUCGGUGGUCGCCGA